rnacentral:rRNA from 1 species
GGGGAAUAUUGGACAAUGGGCGAAAGCCUGAUCCAGACAUGCCGCGGGUGUGAAGAAGGUCUUCGGAUUGUAAAGCACUUUAAGUUGGGAGGAAGGGUUGUAGAUUAAUACUCUGCAAUUUUGACGUUACCGACAGAAUAAGCACAGGCUACCUUCGCCAGCAGCCGCGGUAAUACGAAGGGUGCAAGCGUUAAUCGGAAUUACUGGGCGUAAAGCGCGCGUAGGUGGUUCGUUAAGUUGGAUGUGAAAGCCCCGGGCUCAACCUGGGAACUGCAUCCAAAUCUGGCGAGCUAGAGUACGGUAGAGGGUGGUGGAAUUUCCUGUGUACCGGUGAAAUGCGUAGAUAUAGGAAGGAACACCAGUGGCGAAGGCGACCACCUGGACUGAUACUGACACUGAGGUGCGAAAGCAUGGGGAGCAAACA